rnacentral:rRNA from 1 species
UGGGGAAUAUUGGACAAUGGGGGCAACCCUGAUCCAGCAAUGCCGCGUGAGUGAAGAAGGCCCUAGGGUUGUAAAACUCUUUCACUGAUGAAGAUGAUGACGGUAAUCAGAGAAGAAGCCCCGGCUAACUCCGUGCCAGCAGCCGCGGUAAUACGGAGGGGGCUAGCGUUGUUCGGAUUUACUGGGCGUAAAGCGCACGUAGGCGGCGUAUCUAGUCAGAGGUGAAAGCCCUGGGCUCAACCCGGGAAUUGCCUUUGAUACUGGUAUGCUUGAGUUCGGAAGAGGGUAGUGGAAUUCCAAGUGUAGAGGUGAAAUUCGUAGAUAUUUGGAAGAACACCGGUGGCGAAGGCGGCUACCUGGUCCGAGACUGACGCUGAGGUGCGAAAGCGUGGGGAGCGAACAGGAUUAGAUACCCCCGUAGUCC